UGGGGAAUAUUGGAUAAUGGACCAAAAGUCUGAUCCAGCAAUUCUGUGUGCACGAUGACGUUUUUCGGAAUGUAAAGUGCUUUCAGUUGGGAAGAAAAAAAUGACGGUACCAACAGAAGAAGUGACGGCUAAAUACGUGCCAGCAGCCGCGGUAAUACGUAUGUCACAAGCGUUAUCCGGAUUUAUUGGGCGUAAAGCGCGUCUAGGUGGUUAUGUAAGUCUGAUGUGAAAAUGCAGGGCUCAACUCUGUAUUGCGUUGGAAACUGCAUGACUAGAGUACUGGAGAGGUAAGCGGAACUACAAGUGUAGAGGUGAAAUUCGUAGAUAUUUGUAGGAAUGCCGAUGGGGAAGCCAGCUUACUGGACAGAUACUGACGCUAAAGCGCGAAAGCGUGGGUAGCAAACAGGAUUAGAUACCCUGGUAGUCCACGCCGUAAACGAUGAUUACUAGGUGUUGGGGGUCGAACCUCAGCGCCCAAGCUAACGCGAUAAGUAAUCCGCCUGGGGAGUACGUACGCAAGUAUG
rnacentral:rRNA from 1 species